GACGGUGGGGGAUGGCACGAGGAAGGAAGAAAUGGCUAACAAUCCACCUGCGCACAAAAAUCGUUCAGCAAGGGGAACCUCAUAACACUACAUGGAGAAGGAGAGGGAAGAAACUUACCCGGCAGGACCGAGAGUUCGUCGCGGACCCAGGAUGGCGUGAGGGAGCAGCCAGACUCCCCCGGUGGUGGCGGGCUUGUGGGAUGAGGAGAUCCCGGCGGGUGGCGGCAGCGGGGGGAUGAGCACGGGCGACGUUGCAGGAGGCGAAAGCCGGCGUCGAUGUUGCGCCCGUCCGCCGGUUUUUGGGCUCGGAAAACGGUGACGACGGCAGAUCCGGCGGCGGACCGGAUGGGGAGGGCGCGGACAGCGCUGCUUGGCCUCGGAUGCCGGCGAGGUGGGCGGAUCUAACGGCGACGGGGAUGGGGGUGGCGGGGGUGGACGCAAACAGGGUGCGCAGGGGCGAACAAGUAAGGCGUAGGGAGGAGGAACGCGUGUGGUUGGGACGGGGGUAUUGGGAUCCAGGAUGUAGGAGGGGGUGGAGUUUUUAAAGAAAUUGGACUCUCCUAAAACUUUUUUGGAGCUUUUAAUAGAUGUGUUUGGUUUUUUUUUUGGAGCUUUUAAUAGAUGUGUUUGGUUCUUUAGGUAGGUUUUAGUCACUUUUUAGCUCCUAAAAUUUUUAGGAGCCGGAACCAAACAAGCUUUAGGGCCUGUUUGGAUACACUCUCAUAAUCUUUAGGACUUCACUUUUAGUUCACUUUUAGGACUUGUGCAUCCAAACAUAUGUCAUAAAAGUGCAUUCAUAAUGUUUAGGAGUGCUAUUUUCAUUAGGAGGACCAAACCAUCAUAAUGGGUCAUUUUUCUCCUAAAAGUGGUCCCCAACCCAUCCUUUACCCCUGUUGCCCCUCCCCUUCUCUCUCCACGGCGCUAGAAACAGAGCAAGGGUGGAGUAAUUAGGGGUACAAAAGUUAUUUCCCCUCUAACAUCCUAAAGAUUAUGAUUCCAUCCAAACAGC
rnacentral:lncRNA from 1 species